GACGAACGCUGGCGGCGUGCUUAACACAUGCAAGUCGAACGAUGAACCAGGGCUUGCCCUGGGGAUUAGUGGCGACCGGGUGAGUAACACGUGGGCAACCUGCCCCAGACACCGGGAUAACCUCUCGAAAGAGUGGCUAAUACCGGAUACGACCACUUUGGGCAUCCAACGGUGGUGGAACGGAUUCUGGUCUGGAUGGGGCCGCGGACUAUCAGCUUGUUGGUGGGGUAAUGGCCUACCAAGGCGACGACGGGUAGCCGGCCUGAGCGGGCGACCGGCCACACUGGGACUGAGACACGGCCGAGACUCCUACGGGAGGCAGCAGUGGGGAAUAUUACGCAAUGGGCGAAAGCCUGACGCAGCGACGCCGCGUGAGGGACGAAGGUCUUCGGAUUGUAAACCUCUUUCAGCAGGGACGAAGCGAAAGUGACUGUACCUGCAGAAGAAGCACCGGCUAACUACGUGCCAGCAGCCGCCGCGGUAA
rnacentral:rRNA from 1 species